rnacentral:rRNA from 1 species
UACGGAGGGUGCAAGCGUUGUUCGGAAUUAUUGGGCGUAAAGGGCGCGUAGGCGGGUGUGCAAGUCGAUUGUGAAAGCCCCGGGCUUAACCUGGGAAUUGCAGUCGAUACUGCUCAUCUUGAGUGCUUGAGAGGGUGGUGGAAUUCCUGGUGUAGAAGUGAAAUUCGUAGAUAUCAGGAGGAACACCUGAGGCGAAGGCGGCCACCUGGCAAGACACUGACGCUGAGGCGCGAAAGUGCGGGGAGCAAACAGG